UAAGAUAUAUUGCAAUUAUUAUACAUAGCAAUUAUUAUAUACAUUAGCCUCAACUCUGAAGAUAUUCUAAUCAGUAUAAUUAAUUAAUCUGCAAAUUACAUCACAGCAAUUAGGUGAAAUUGUUAACAAUAUUAUUCACCAAUUUCUAAAAAGCGAAUCUUUAUAUAUUCACCUGAGUAAAAUGGCUAAUGAUAGGUAUUAGUAAUAAUUGGUAAUUAGCAGAACAUAAUUUGACAAGUUGUCAGCAUAUUAUAUCAAACUUAUUCGUGGUACUCGUAUUAUCAGCAUGUUUAUUUAGAAAUUUGAGAAAAUUAAAAUAAAGUAGUUUUGAGUUAUGAUUAAAUUGGUAAGACAUUGAUAAAAUUUAAUGCAUCAAACGUAAUAUACUAACUACUGUAUUUGAUAACUCUUCUUCGAUAUUGAAAUUUAGUUUGCUAAUUAAGAGGGAAAUACAGAGGUGCUAAUGACGUAAAGAUGAUUUUUAUAAAGAAUCUACCACCGCAUACUUCUGGAAAUAAACAACAGUAAAUUGAGCUCUAAAGCUAGAGAGUUAGCUCAUGAGCUAAUUGUAACUGCAAGUGGAAUUCAUUUACCCAAAGUAGCUAUUAAAUGAGCAAGUGAGGAUAAAAUCAAUAUACAGGAUAAAAUCAAAGCAGUUUUGUGGUUAAUUUGGAACAAGUAUGGCUGUCGCAUUAAAAAAAAAAAACAACAUUCGAAACAAACAUGAAGAAAAGUGUCGACGAGUUCCCCUUGCAUGUUGACACGGAUAAGCUGAAAAUGUAUAACGAUGCAUCUGUUAGGUUGAUAUAUAACAACUAAAAACAGAGCAGAUCAUUAGAAGUAACAGACACCUGAGUAAAGACGGAAGCUCGUUAUCUGAAUCUGUUUGGUAUAAUUUAGUUGCUCUCUUCACUAUUUUUUAUUGUCUCUCCGCCUUUUCACAUUUUGCUUUGAUUGUGUACUUUGGAAACUUCGAGGAUGAAUUGCUCUGUAAAAUGAAAUCCAACGAAAUGUCUUAAAGCUAAAUUUAAUCAAAAAAACAAUCAAUACAAUUUUGAAUAUUUACUGACGAUGGAAUCUAAGAGACUAAAAAGUUUAAUGAAAGAAAAAAAGCUGGCACUGAGUCAUAAUUUCAUAUUUUCAUGGAGUUGCGAAACUUUAAUGACAGACUGUGGGUCGGUUAACCAUUAAUUUAUUGUGGACAGGGUGUAAAGUACUUCUAGAAGGACAUACUUUUUAUAGUAGUUUAUUACGUUUGUAUAAAUAUUUAUGAAGUAAAAGCUAUCAAAAGAGAAAUUUAAUAUGCUUUAAAUCUCUAACUGGAAUGUAGUAAGAUCCUUCCUCAUAGUCUGUAAGAAGUAUUUAUUUUUUAAUUACUUUAUUACAUUAUACCAAAAUUGUACGUGCUUUGCGGUUGAAAAUUUACUACGGAGUAUUAAUUUUCUAUCAUAUCUGAAACUUGAGAAAGAUGAACCUACCACAGAAUAUGAUAGUCUGGAAUCUGUACUAAUUCCAGUAAAUGGAUAAGCGAAUGUAAUUAGCAUAAUCUCGGAAACAUUAUCAACUGAUCAAUGUAUGCGCAGAAUUAUUACAGCUUUAUUAAUAUGCAGUUAGUUUGUAUCAUUGAUAUUCAUGAAAAUAUGUAAAAAUAAAAAUGUAAAAGAACUUCA